rnacentral:rRNA from 1 species
AUUGAACGCUGGCGGCAUGCCUUACACAUGCAAGUCGAACGGCAGCACGGGGGCAACCCUGGUGGCGAGUGGCGAACGGGUGAGUAACAUAUCGGAACAUACCCUAGAUGGGGGAUAACGUAGCGAAAGUUACGCUAAUACCGCAUACGAUCUAAGGAUGAAAGUGGGGGAUCUUCGGACCUCAUGCUCAUGGAGUGGCCGAUAUCUGAUUAGCUAGUUGGUGAGGUAAAGGCUCACCAAGGCGACGAUCAGUAGCUGGUUUGAGAGAACGACCAGCCACACUGGAACUGAGACACGGUCCAGACUCCUACGGAGCAGCAGUGGGGAAUUUUGGGACAAUGGGGG